UUGGCACCAGAAAGUUUGAUCGACAGAACACACAGCACUAAAUCUGAUGUCUGGGCCUACGGCAUUCUUCUGUGGGAGAUUGUUACGCUAGGUGCCAGUCCUUACCCCGGGUUGUCUGCCCAUGACGUCUUCAAGUUUGUUAGCGCUGGCAAGAAAAUGGAGAAACCUCAGCACUGCAGUUCUGACAUAUACGAGCUCAUGUGCAGCUGCUGGUCCUUCCUCCCAGAGAACCGUCCAACGUUUGAUGCCCUGUGUCGCAGGUUCGAGACUCUGCUGGAAAAGGAAAAAGAUUACAUCAAUCUGGAACUAUUCCAGAGCGAACAGUACGCUUGUCUGGAUGCGGACAUAAUGGAUGAGAAGUUAUAGGACAUAAAGCUGGUUGUAUGAGAAGAUAUAUGACAUAAAUGAAAAGAUAUAUGGCAUAAAGCUGGUUGGAUGAGAAGAAAUAGGAUAUAAAUUUGGUUGGAUGAGAAAAAAUAGGACAUAAAGCUGGUUGAUUGAGAAGAUAUAGGACAUAAAGCUGGUUGAUUGAGAAGUUAUAGGACAUAAACCUGGCUGAUUGAGAAGAUAUAGGACAUAAAGUUGGUUGGAUGAGAAGAAAUAGGAUAUAAAUUUGGUUGGAUGAGAAAAAAUAGGACAUAAAGCUGGUUGAUUGAGAAGAUAUAGGACAUAAAGCUGGUUGAUUGAGAAGUUGUAGGACAUAAAGCUGGCUGAUUGAGAAGAUAUAGGACAUAAAGUUGGUUGGAUGAGAAGAAAUAGGAUAUAAUGCUGGCUGAGUGCAGACAUAAUAGAUAAGUUAUAGUAGAAUGACUGGGUUAUAUUAACUGACAGUAGUGACAGUUAAGAGAUCGCGGAUGUUACAUAACUUACUUGGAUUUUGCAGAAAACUUUUUUUAAAAACCCGAGAAAGUCGAUUUAAAAACAAAUCAAAUCAUUCUUCGCAGUGAUCUCGUGCAAAAUGUUUUUGUUAACACAAGUAUUAGACAUGCUGACAAGUAUAGGGCUGGUAAGUAGGUCAAUAAAUAGUUAUAUGGCUCAUGCAGGUUUUAUUGAGCUGUAGAACUGGUUGGUGACCUAUUUACCAGCCCUAUAGUAGCGAUCGUCCAGACGUGUACAUGUUUCAUAACAUACCUACAAGACAUUUGAAACCUACCCCAUUCUCCACAGGACGUUACAGAACAAAUAUGUUCAUAACCCCCCCCCCCC